AUGACUUUGAUUUCCGUCCUCAUCUGGACUCUCCUCUGCUGCUGCUUCACAGAGUCCAGAGGCCAGAUCACAGUGACUCAGCCUGCAGUAGUGAGAUCUACUCUAGGAGGAUCUGCAACCAUCAGCUGUAGGGUCAGUCAGGAUGUUCUCAAUGGGAACCGCGUAGACUGGUAUAAACAGAGAGAUGGACAACCUCCUAAACUAUACAUUUACAAUGCAGCCACUCGAGCAUCAGGGAUUCCAGAUCGUAUUUCAGGCAGUGGAAGAAACACUGACUUCACUCUGACCAUCAGUGGAGUUCAGGCUGAAGACGCAGCAGUGUAUCACUGUUACAGUUAUCAUUUUAUCAACAGUCAGGAUGUGUUCACACAGUGA